UGCUGUGCCUUCUUAUGAGUCUAAGGAGUGAUGAGGUAGGAGGAUGUACUACCUUCACCUCCAUACAGGGCCUCUAAUUCCUCUUUACAGCCCGAAGGAACUGUCACGCAAAGCCCGUGCUGUGCUGGUGGAAUUUCCUGGCUUGCAACAUUCAUUCCUAGACUCGAAUCCUCCAAGAAAGAUGGAGGUGAGGGCGGGGUGAGAUUUUAAAAACAUCCAACUCUCUACAUUUAUAAAAAAGAAAACUGCAUAAUCUGUCCAGGUGGGAGAGCAGUCAGUGGACACUGCUUCGUUUCACUUGCAAGCUGGGAGGGACAAAGACCAACAAUUUUCCACCUACAAAGUGCAUCUAAACUGGCAGAGAACUGAGGCAGCUUGUCAGCCCAGUGGUACAAAGGGAAAAUGAGGAAGGACGAUCUUCUGUUUUUUCGGAAGAGCUCCAGUCUUUGCCUUCUCGUUGGUUGUCAUCUCCUGGCUUCCAGUGCGGACUCUUCAGCUUCCGGUGCAGAACCUUAAGCCUUCCGGUGUAGACUCAGAUCCUUUCCACUGCAGAUGCAUCAGCCUCCACGUACGGACUUGCAAAGACACUGCAGUGAGCUCCAGAACUCGGACUGAGUCCUUCGGUCUCUUGUGCGCAGACGCCCUCUGCACGCUUCCCCAUCCAACUCUGCAGAUGUAAAUGAUCUUGCCAAGUGAAAUAGCAGUUUGGGGAACUGUGGAAUGAGUGGGGGAAGCUGUGUAGAAUUCUGCAACAUGAGCCAUUCAAGGACUCCGGAGAGGAGGAAAGGGUCAGCUGAGGUGCUGGUUUGCUUCCUCAUUGCCUAGGGACUGAUGACCCGGGAAAAUGAAGUUAUUGGUCUUCUAUACCCGGUAUAUAAUGGUGACCCUUCACAGGAAUAAGCACACACAAACUUCUGCUUAGAUAAAUGAAAAACAUGAAACUCGGCCAUCACUAUUCCAUCCACUGUGCAAGACUCACCCUAAGGAUGGGACAAUUUCUUGGUCAGGGUCUAAUUAUCUUCUCUCAGAGGAGCACCCUUGUCCACUUCUCUCUGCCGGUUCCAGUUCUGUCUCUCCCUGUCCAUCGUCCAACACAGCCAACAUCAGUUUUGGAAACAUGCCCUUUUGGGGUCAGUAUGGGAUUCUCAGCCUUUCUCAUAAAUAUAGAUAUUCUGCUGGCCUGAGGCAAGGGGCUGAAGCAGUUUCACUUGGAGAAGUCAACAGAACAAUGACAUGUGCAAAAAUGAUGGAAGGAGAGGGACAGGGGAAAGCAAAAGAUGAAAGGAAGCAAUCUGAACAUUAUACAGCUCCUAACGGCAUCACUCCUUCCAUGUACAGAUGGGCAGAAAGCACCUGAGAUGAAGGAAGUGUCAUGAACAAAGACAGAAAGCAUAAAGUGAAAUCAUGGGUUAUUUUCAAUGAAUUAAUGUGGGGAAUAAAGAAAAAAGAAAUAAUGACAGAAGAAGAAGGCAUGACAGACAGUUUAAAAUCUUUUGAGCCCUAAUAACAAGGAGAAUAAUGAUACCAUUAACUAACAUAGCAAAGUCAGUGCGUGGAGAUAAAGUGGUGAUUAAUGAUUUUAGCAUUAAAAUUAUAACUUUGAAGGACAUCAAAUGUGCAAUGAAUUAAGAAGUGGAGAUGCGCAAGAUGGUGAUAAUCACGGGGCAGAUACACACGUAUGCACAGACAUGAGAAAACAUUGCUCUAAAGAAAGUGGAAAGAACAGGAAGAAAUAGCUGAGAAUGAUAUAGUUGAUGUUGAUCAGCCUUAUCCAGUUCCUCUUUAUGAUUUGAGGCAUUCAUCUCCAUCUCCCUAUUGCUGUCAUUAUUGCUAAAAGUAGUGGUACACCGGUCAGCCCUCCUGCCUCAAAGAAAAGUCAUGAGUAGUGCAAUUUGAGCUCCAGGCCAUUUCAUAGGAGCAGGUAAUGUUAGUCUCCAUCUGAAGCAAUAGGUUUUAUGUCCCUUCCUUAUAUUGCUCCCCUCAUUUCCCUCCUGACAGCUCUCCCCAGACUCUAGGAAACAUGAUCCACGACAGACACCAUCUUUAGCAGAAUAAUGUCAAGAAAAACAGGUGGAGCAGAACUCAGAUCGAUGGGCAUAGGUUCCCAGAAAUGGCACCAGAAGAGGGUUUUGAUUAAGGGCAGAAUGGUCAUUGGUGUCAGAAGUGCUCAUAAAAGAUAAAAGCAAAUGUUACUCUAAAAAUUGUGGUAGCAUUUGGAACCUUUGAAAGUACAAUUUCAGCAGAGUAAUGUGGAUACUUUUGCUCAAAAAUGUUUGGUGUAGGGGAUAGAGAGAUUGUAGAUGCUUGCUUGAGGGACUAGCAGAAUCUAUGCUCCUUUGUUCGAACCAAGUGUGUAAAACAAAAAGUCAAAUGAAAAACAAGAACAAAAUGUACUGAUACUUUGGCUGAGAAGUGGGGCAACAAUAGCAUGUAUGCUUGCCUCUGUAUGUGUUCACUUUUCCUUCCACUGCUGCUCUACGGGGCUUCUGUGACACUCCGGUGUAUGGUGGGGAGGACCAAUUUAAAGGCUAUGAUGAAGAAGAAUUAUGCAGAUAAUUCUGAAAUAUGAAGCAAGCAGUAGGAAAAUUUUAAGAGGAUUAGACUGAGAUUGUUACAAAAGGAUCUGUGCCUCCCCUAUUUCUGAGGUUCUUAUGAUGUGAGAGUCUAAAAUACCUCAUCAAGUUAAUAUGGGAACUCACUCUGUUUUUUCAUGAAAAACUUUUCUGCAGUCCUCGAGAUUGGACCAAGAGACUCCUACUUGCCAGAAAAGUGUUUUAGCACCGAAUUACAUCCUCAGACCUCUUGAGUGCUUACUUUAAUUUGGUCUUUACUACAGUGCUGUCAGGAAAUGUGAGUGGAAUGAGGGAGCACUGUCUUCUGAAAUAAAAGUCAAAGAAUAAACUCAAAUCUCUUGCAAAUCAUGUUGCAGAUGGGAGACAGAAACCGUACAAGUUCUUUGCACUCUUCUUUCUUCUUGCUCCUAUAGCCUACUAAAGACCCCGCAACCAACACAAAAAUGAUUGGCAGGCUUACAAUAUAGGGCUUUCAUAAAAAAAAAAAAAAAA